rnacentral:pre_miRNA from 1 species
GGGGGAAGUGCUGGAUCCUGGGCUGUGUCCCUCGGCCCCUUGGGCUCCGGGACCUACGCGCUGGAAUCGCGCUCUUGGGGCCGCGCAGCCCCUC